GGUGCGUCGCCUCCAGCCCCGUUCCAGAGAUUUUUCUACUGGCCCCCGCAAUCCCCCUUUUUUAGCUCUUUUGUAGUUGACCUUUUCUCCCUUUUUUUUAGCGCGAUAUGCUAGUGGUUUUAUAUAUUUAGGCGGCUAUAUAUUAUAUAUAAUAUCGUUGUCAAGUAGUGGAAGGUGAACCUCUGAUUUCUUUUUGUUUUUGUUUUUUAACGACCCCACCCUGUUCGUCGUCCCGUGGGAGUGAACCGGUUCUCGAGGGUCGAUUUGUAUAUAUAGACGGUUGUAUGCAUUUAUUAAGUUUUGUGAUUUGAUAGUGGGCGGAGGGACUUGUUUCUUGCGACUCCACCUUGUUCGUCAUCCUCGGGAGGUGAACCGGUUCCGCGAGGUGGAUUUGUGAAUAUAAACGGCUGCUCCAUUCGUUUGGUUUGGUUGUCUGGCAGUGAACGGUGGAAUUUUUACGACCCCACCCUGUUCGGCGUUCGAUGGAGGUGAACCGGUUUCGCAGGGUGGAGGUGUCGCGCCGGAUGUUCUCAGACUGUGAUAUCUGUUCUGAAUCUUAAAACGAGUACCUUAACCUUGUUUAUCACUUCGUCUUCGGGGUCCUGGAAGGUCGCGGUCCAACUCACACUUUGACCGCGCAAAGCGAAGAUUUGCAGUUCAUGUCUUCGAAAAAUUGAGGUGCGGCAUAAUGAGAUCACCCCUCCUGGAGCAGGGAACGACGUUCCGGCCGGCCGACCCCUCAUCUGCCUUACAACAAUGAGUUUUUAUACUUUCAUACCGAAGAGGCGGAUGAAAACACCUCGAUCGAAUUAAUCUAACCUCGAAUUCCCAGAUGGAUGUUCGUUCCCGUGAAUCGGACGGUGCAUUUAAUUAGUAAACCCGAA